rnacentral:rRNA from 1 species
UACGUAGGGGGCAAGCGUUAUCCGGAUUUACUGGGUGUAAAGGGGGCGCAGACGGCAGCGCAAGCCAGGAGUGAAAGCCCGGGGCCCAACCCCGGGACUGCCCUUGGAACUGCGCGGCUGGAGUGCAGGAGGGGCAGGCGGAAUUCCUGGUGUAGCGGUGAAAUGCGUAGAUAUCAGGAGGAACACCGGUGGCGAAGGCGGCCUGCUGGACUGCGACUGACGUUGAGGCCCGAAAGCGUGGGGAGCAAACAGG